rnacentral:rRNA from 1 species
AAAACUCAAAUGAAUUGACGGGGGCCCGCACAAGCGGUGGAGCAUGUGGUUUAAUUCGAUGCAACGCGAAGAACCUUACCUGGUCUUGACAUCCACAGAACUUUCCAGAGAUGGAUUGGUGCCUUCGGGAACUGUGAGACAGGUGCUGCAUGGCUGUCGUCAGCUCGUGUUGUGAAAUGUUGGGUUAAGUCCCGCAACGAGCGCAACCCUUAUCCUUUGUUGCCAGCGG